AUUGAACGCUGGCGGCAGGCUUAACACAUGCAAGUCGAACGAGUGGCGGACGGGUGAGUAAUGCUUGGGAAUCCAGCUUAUGGAGGGGGAUAACUACGGGACACUGUAGCUAAUACCGCGUACCCUAGGAUGAGCCCAAGUGGGAUUAGUUAGUGGGAGGGGUAAAGGCUCACCAAGCCGACGAUCUCUAGCUGGUCUGAGAGGAUGACCAGCCACACUGGGACUGAGACACGGCCCAGACUCCGACGGGAGGCAGCAGUGGGGAAUAUUGCGCAAUGGAGGCAACCUGACAGAGCCAUGCCGCGUGAGUGAAGAAGGUCUUCGGGUUGUAAAGUUCUUUUGGUAGCGAGGCGUUAACUACAGAAGAAGCAACGGCUAACUCCGUGCCAGCAGCCGCGGUAAUAC
rnacentral:rRNA from 1 species